CACAUCUUGUCAUCUCGGUUAAAGAACAACGAAGUUGAGGUGAGGCAUGGCUUGAAGACAGCUGGCUGAUGCUUUUGGCUGCUUUCCACCGAGAGGCAGGAGCAGCAUCCCUCCUGCAUUUACAGUGUCUUUAAAUAUCAAAUGCUACCUGUGAGAAGCCCGGUGACCCAAUACCUAGAGAUCUAUCCUGCCCUUGUGAGUUCUCUGACCAGUAGUCAUGGUGUAUCUAUCUGCAGAGAAAAGAAAGAAGAACCCAUGCCUCACAACAGUACUACAAAGAAAAAAUGAAAUAUGUCCUUGGAAACAUUCCGUAAACUGUCCAAGAGCGGCUUCACUGUUUAAAAGUAUCAGAUGAAAGCUGUUUGGGAACUUGCCUGGUAGUUGUCUCUGCUUGUGAUCCCUGAGCUUUCUGCUGCUCUGGAGCCCUGCUUGCCGAGGGGAGAGCUUCAUAGCACACCCCUUCCCCACUCUUCCCACUUUUUACGCAAGCUGUAGCACCCUCCUGGCUUCCUGCUCUUUAAGUAGAGCACAGACCAAUACACUUCUUUUUGAAAGAUUUUUUUUUUAAGUAUGUGAGGGUUUUGCCUUUGUCCAUCACAUGCAUGGCUGGUACCCACAGAGGUCAGAAGAGGACAUCCAGUACCCUGGACCUGGAGUUAUGGUUGGUCGUGAGCCAUCAUGUGGAUGCUGAGAACUGAACCUGUGUCUUCUACAGUUCCAGACUAUCACUUCUUGAUUGACAUCUUCGGUUCUGCCUAAUCAUUGUGAUAUGUCAUCAUUAGCUCUAGUCUUCCCUCAACAUAUGCCCUGGUCUCCCAUUUUGCCAAAAAAAAUGAGGCCACUGGCAUGAACUUCUGCCUCCAUUAAAAUCAGCAUCAAUAAUCUAGAAA